rnacentral:rRNA from 1 species
CAAUAGCGUAUAUUAAAGUUGUUGCAGUUAAAAAGCUCGUAGUUGAAUUUCUGGUGGGCGCGCCGGUCUUCCAAGUGUUGUACUGGGCGCAGUCCGCCAUCCUUGUGGAGAGGGCUCGCAUUGAGUUGCGUGUCGGAUCUGCAUCAUUUACUGUGGAAAAAUUAGAGUGUUUAAAGCAGGCUGUCGCUUGAAUACAUUAGCAUGGAAUAAUAAGAUAGGACUUCGGUCUAUUUUGUUGGUUGCGAACCGAGGUAAUGAUUAAUAGGGAUAGUUGGGGGUAUUCAUAUUUAAUUGUCAGAGGUGAAAUUCUUGGAUUUAUGAAAGAUGAACAACUGCGAAAGCAUUUACCAAGGAUGUUUUCAUUAA